AAGUCGAACGAUAGUAACAGAGUAGCAAUACAAUGUUACGAGAGUGGCGGAAGGGCGAGUAAGGCAUGGGUAAUUUGCCCUUGAACUGGGGAUAACCUUGCGAAAGCGAGGUUAAUACCGAAUGUGGCCCCUGAACGCAUGUUCAGGAGGUUAAAGGUGGGGACCGCAAGGCCUGCCGUUCAAGGAUAAGCCCGUGUGCCAUCAGCUAGUUGGUGAGGUAACGGCUCACCAAGGCUUACGGCUAGCUGGUCUGAGAGGACGACCAGCCGCACUGGGACUGAGAUACUGCCCAGACUCCUACGGGAGGCUGCAGUCGAGGAUCAUUCGCAAUGGGCGAAAGCCUGACGAUGCGACGCUGCGUGGAGGAUGAAGGCCUUCGGGUUGUAAACUCCUGUCAUGAGGGAAAAAUGUGUCGGUGAUGAAUAAUCACUGGCCUGGAUGGUACCUCAAGAGGAAGCCACGGCUAACUCUGUGCCAGCAGCCGCGGUAAUACAGAGGUGGCAAGCGUUGUUCGGAUUUACUGGGCGUAAAGGGCGCGUAGGCGGUUAUGUGUGUCGAGUGUGAAAUCUCCGGGCUCAACCCGGAAAGUGCGCUCGAAACUGCAUAACUUGAGCACAGGAGGGGAGAGCGGAAUUUAAGGUGUAGCGGUGAAAUGCGUUGAUAUCUUAAAGAACACCGGUGGCGAAGGCGGCUCUCUGGAAUGUUGCUGACGCUGAGGCGCGAAAGUUGGGGGAGCAAACAGGAUUAGAUACCCUGGUAGUCCCAACUGUAAACGGUGUGCACUGGACGUGGGAGGUUUCACCCYUUCCGUGUCGCAGCUAACGCGUUAAGUGCACCGCCUGGGGAGUACGGCCGCAAGGUUAAAACUCAAAGAAAUUGACGGGGGGCCCGCACAAGCGGAGGAGCAUGUGGCUUAAUUCGAUGCAACGCGAAGAACCUUACCUGGGUUUGACAUGUAGCUGCAAGCUAGAUGAAAGUCUGGCCGCCUUCGAGGGUGCUACACAGGUGCUGCAUGGCUGUCGUCAGUUCGUGCCGUGAGGUGCUUGGUUAAGUCCAGCAACGAACGCAACCCCUAUGAUUAUUUGCUACCGGGUCAUGCCGGGCACUCUAAUCAGACUGCCUGUAUACACAGGAGGAAGGUGGGGACGACGUCAAGUCAGUAUGGCCCUUACAUCCAGGGCUGCACACGUGCUACAAUGGUUGGUACAAAGGGAAGCAAGACCGCGAGGUGGAGCAAAUCCCCAAAACCAGCCUCAGUUCAGAUUGCAGUCUGCAACUCGACUGCAUGAAGUUGGAUUCGCUAGUAACGGGGCAUCAGCUACGGCCCCGUGAAUACGUUCCCGGGCCUUGUACACACCGCCCGUCACAUCAUGAAAGCCGUCUGCACCCAAAGCCGGUGCACUAACCCGCAAGGGAGGGAGCCGUCUAAGGUGUGGGUGGUGAUUGGGAUGAAGUCGUAACAAGGUAACCGUA
rnacentral:rRNA from 1 species